AUUACCUUUCUUCUUCAGGCGGCAAAUUGAUAUGUUGAAUUUGACAAAGGUGACCGUAGUGAAUAAAAAGAUUUUUAAUGUAACAAUUGUUUUUUAUUUAUUAAUUUUUUUUUUAAAAUAUAAAGCACUUUUCUAGGUUCCCGUGCUUUUGUCAGAAUCUCUGCGUAGUCUUUUACACUCGCUUGUGAUCAUCUGUCCAAAAGCAACGGGAACAAUACAUACACUGAGGGUUUAUUGGAAGUGGCCGGCCUCCUUAUAACUGGAGAAAUAUGUGUGUGUGCGUGUGUAAAUGUGCUAUCUUAAUUUAGUUAAUACUAACAACUUAAUCUAAUAAUUAAUGACUACAAAUUAUUAUAAUUAUUUUACAAUAUUGAUUAUAUAAUUUAUUUUAAUUAUAUAUGAUAGCUUAAGUAUUAU